AGCUGACACAUCAAGAAGGCACAAGAGACACCAGCUUCCCAGCCUUGUCUUCCCAGCAUCUAGAGACAUGAAAAGGGCUUUUCUGCUAAGUGUAAAUUACCCAGCUUCAAGUAGUCUUUUACAGCAGCUUAAAAUGAGCUAAGAAGCACGGCCACUCAUAGCUGAAUGCUUUAGAAGAAAAACAGAUUCAUCUCUUGCAGUGUGGUGUUUGUGGAGGCUGAGGGUGUGGGGUGCAGGUUUCCGGCCAUGUGGCAGGUCGUGUCCUUGCAUAGAGGGUGGUGUGAUUAUGUGAAAGCUGUCUUUAUAUAUGGCGCGUGGUCAUUGCCCUGGGAGAGCAGUGUCUGCCUGAGUGUCUGGGCUGGAGAAUCCAUCAGGGCUGUGCCAUGAUGCCUGUGGCUGAGAAUGUACGUUUCCGGAAGACAUUUAGCAUUCGAGCUGAUGGACAAAGCAGAGAUCACCCUCAUUAACGUGGGUGGCAGCAUCCACUCUGCAGAGGCCCAAACAGAAUAAAGUGUGAGAGCAAAGUGACUUUCUCUUCAUGAGCUGAGAGACCCAUCUCCUGACCCCAUACACAAGUGCUUCAGAGCCUCAG
rnacentral:lncRNA from 1 species